UACGUAGGGGGCAAGCGUUGUCCGGAAUCAUUGGGCGUAAAGCGCGUGUAGGCGGCUCGGUAAGUCUGCUCUGAAAGUCCAAGGCUCAACCUUGGGAUGCGGGUGGAUACUGCCGGGCUCGAGUCCGGAAGAGGCGAGUGGAAUUCCUGGUGUAGCGGUGAAAUGCGCAGAUAUCAGGAGGAACACCAAUGGCGAAGGCAGCUCUCUGGGACGUGACUGACGCUGAGACGCGAAAGCGUGGGGAGCAAACGGG
rnacentral:rRNA from 1 species